CAGUCAGCGCGCUCGCGGACAGGUUUAAAGAUCCGCGAGCAUUUCAGACAAGUCCGCUCGUUCACGGUGAUGGUUAAGCCACAAGAGAGGUGAUGAAGCACAAACAACAUCAACACCAUGAUGUGAACAGCUGAGCCGGUUCAGGAACUAAAACUAAUCGGACCAUCAGUACUGCGUUGCAAUUAUGCACAGGUAUUCAGAGGAUAUGCAGGGAGGAGGCACAGUGUCACAGAUGAUACCUCACACUUCAAGGAGAACAUUUGGUUCCCUAUGAGGUUACCAUAGUUACACCAACACAGCAAGAGCGGAUGUCCAUAAUGUUGAUCAGCCCGUAACGUAUUUCGGUGGGGUGUCUUAGUCCUUAACAAUCCACGUCAUUGUAAAGAGGAAUUAACUACAUUUAAAAAAGUUCAAUGGUUACAAACUAGUUUAGCACAUUUUUAUUGGUUCAUGCUUUUGGGAAAAAAGCAGCAACAAAUAAAUGAGUUCUUCAGAGGUUUCACAUCUUUACAAAUACGAAUUUCUCUGCUUAAUUGGAAAGGCAAUUUAUCUGAGUUCUCUUGUGCAUCAAAGUUUGAGGUCUGCCUUUGUGUCUGCACUGACACUCAUCCACUAGUAAUAAACAACAGUACUAUUUGUCUUAUUUGGUGCAGCUACAACUGAAACUAUUACGGUUUAUACACUGUUCUAAACAUGAUUCGAAAGAAAUGGCUUUAGCAGAUUUAAAGUACUGAAAAAAUGUGUUUUUCUGAUAUCCCAAAAUGUAAAGUUUCCUCAUUUUAGACAUUUAACAUGUAGUAGUAGAUGUAGUUUCUGCAAUUGUGUAAUUUAAAUGUCUCAAAGUUGUUUUUACAUACCUGUCUGAAAUAACAUAUAAUUUCAUUUGAAAAACCGACUUACAGGAACUGGGCUGAUGCUGAAUUUGAGAGAUGAGGGUCACUACCUCAUCUCCAUAAAAAGGAUGAGACUGAUAUACAAUUCAGUGAGUUAUUAAAUGAAAUAAUGUUUUCAAUGUACCCUCAGUAAAGUAUUCACUUUGAAGCGCAUACAGUAUAUCAAUCCUUGAAUUAAUCAUGGGCCGAUGUGAGUGCAUGAAUGAAUGUUUUUUUCCUCGAGUAUUGCUCAACCAAACCCAUUUUAUUCAUUAACCCUGACACAAACACACACACAUGUGUGAAAAUUAUGAAUAGAUGAUAAAACAUGCAUAAAGCCAUUUGCUAAUUUUCAACCAUACCUCUAUGCCUUCCUACACACCACUGGUAUUAAAUGGUGGUUGUCAUAGCAACAGGCUUCUAAGCCACAACAGUGCUUUUUGAAGACAAAUACAGGUCAGCACAACAGACACAUCUCACAUCCACCUUUUCUGUCAGCCAACACGUCCAAAACCCCAAAAGCAAAGCAUCAUUGAUUGUUGCUUCUCUCAUUUAAGACACAACGACGUCAUCGCUAACCUCAUGGCAACAAGUGGAACUGUAGAUACAGAAUAACAGAGGCUGAAAAAUCGCUGAAUGCGGCAUUUUGCGGAUGGGUGGCAUGGGGGCUCAGUGUAAAGAAGGGGGCUUUGUUUGAACCUGAUCAUGAGAACUCGGUUGUUUCCACGUUCACGCUCUCUCUCUCUCUCUUUGCUCACUGGGUUUCCUCAGGUACACCAGUGUGCCGCCGGUUAAAGGUCCUUUGCUGGAAGAAGUAUUGAGCAUCUUACAACAUUAUUAUUUUAAGUGUCGGUGCGUUUUAAAGCAUGAUUGAUUAUUGCUUCUCUCGUUGCAGGCCAAAGGCUUCAAGUUCUCUUGAUCCUAACUUAUUUUAUUGAAGGCAUUGUUCAUAGUUACCAAAUGCUGAAGCCCAAUGAUGUUUAAUUUGAUCUUGUAUUGACAGAGUUACUUGGUUAAACGGUUGUUGAUGUGUUAAUACUUUUUGCUGGAUUGAUUACAGAAAUGGCUCUCACCAUCACCUCAUCCGUCUGGAUUGUAUUCCAACCUGUUAAAUGUGACUCACCCUCAAAGCGAUCAUCAUUAAAAUGUUAUGUCCAUACAUAUAAAAACUAAACGCACAAAGAACUGUACUUAAUUUUGACUAUUAAUGUGGAGUUAAUGACACAGACGGGACGUGACUGUACGAUCUGUCAGUUCUUUAUACUGAAACCUAUGACACCCUGUCGAGUAUUCUU